ensembl:misc_RNA Metazoa_SRP Metazoan signal recognition particle RNA
GCCAGGCACGGUGGCUCAUGCCUGUAAUCCCAGCACCUUGGGAGGCCGAGGCGGGUGGAUCACCUGAGGCCAGGAGUUGGAGACCAGCCUGGCCAACAUGGUGAAAACCCGUCUCCA